rnacentral:ncRNA from 2 species
AGAACGCAGACAAACUCAGUUUUAGGCUCAAAAAGCAUGAACAGCUCUGCUGAUUUGACAUCCAAUUUCCUAUUUCUGCGUGUGGAGUGAGCCAAAACAGAUGUUUUUCGUUGUGGUAAAAGUGGCGUCAAUGUUAAUGUUGACGCCACUUGGCAUUUUUGAGCCUAGGAUCUCAAAAAUAAGGCAUGGAAUUCCAAAGAAAGUCGCUGCCUUAAGCACUACCUAAGGAAAGUAUCAAAAAAUACUAAGUUU